rnacentral:rRNA from 1 species
UACAGAGGUCUCGAGCGUUAGGCGGAAUCACUGGGCUUAAAGCGUGUGUAGGCGGAUCGUUAAGUGCCUUGUGAAAUCCCACGGCUCAACCGUGGAACUGCUUGGCAUACUGGCGGUCUUGAGCAACCUAGGGGCGAGCGGAACAAAUGGUGGAGCGGUGAAAUGCGUAGAUAUCAUUUGGAACGCCAAUGGUGAAAACAGCUCGCUGGGGGUUUGCUGACGCUGAGACUACGAAAGCCAGGGGAGCAAACGGG